rfam:Felis catus isolate Cinnamon breed Abyssinian chromosome D1, whole genome shotgun sequence.
GCCUGGUUGGCUCAGUCAGUUGAGCAUCUGACUUUGGCUCAGGUCAUGAUCUCACAGCUUGGGAGUUCGAGCCCCACAUCAGGCU